rnacentral:rRNA from 1 species
AUUGAACGCUGGCGGCAGGCCUAACACAUGCAAGUCGAGCGGAUGAGAGGAGCUUGCUCCUUGAUUCAGCGGCGGACGGGUGAGUAAUGCCUAGGAAUCUGCCUGGUAGUGGGGGACAACGUUUCGAAAGGAACGCUAAUACCGCAUACGUCCUACGGGAGAAAGCAGGGGACCUUCGGGCCUUGCGCUAUCAGACGAGCCUAGGUCGGAUUAGCUAGUAGGUGGGGUAAUGGCCCGCCUAGGCGACGAUCCGUAACUGGUCUGAGAGGAUGAUCAGUCACACUGGAACUGAGACACGGUCCAGACUCCUACGGGAGGCAGCAGUGGGGAAUGUUGGACAAUGGGCGAAAGCCUGAUCCAGCCAUGCCGCGUGUGUGAAGAAGGUCUUCGGAUUGUAAAGCACUUUAAGUUGGGAGGAAGGGCAGUUAGUUAAUACCUGACUGUUUUGACGUUACCAACAGAAUAAGCACCGGCUAACUUCGUGCCAGCCGCCGCCGUAA